AAUUCAUCAUGAGUAGCGGAGGGACUGGCCCGGUGAAACUACGACAACCUUUCCAAUGGAAAACGGUGCCAAAUCCAGCGGGUAUUCUGCUCGAAAGAUGAUAU
rfam:Dialister invisus CAG:218 genomic scaffold, scf46